AGCCAAUGCCUGAAAUAAUGAACUCCUCCAAGGCAAGAAAUCUGUUUUGAAGCUUCUCUGCGUUCACACACAGCAGCCUGGUUUCCUGGCAGGGCAUUUUCCACAUUGUGCGUUAUGGAUGAUCAUCCCAGGCAUCAGGAUGUGAAGCCCUGCAUCCACAUCCAGGGGCUAUCAAAUCUCUCUGCAAAAGGAGAAUCUGGACUCAGGCACGUUUACAGUGAUGUGUAUGCAGUUCCGUGAAGGAAGCUGCAGAAGAAAAAGGUGAAAGAGGUGAGGAAGCUGCAGAAGAAAACCUGGAAGUUAGCAGAGCUUGAUCCAGAGGUUUAAGGAAAGAAGCCAUCUCCAUAACAUAAAAGUGCAAGGUGAAGCAGCAAGUGCUGAUGGGGAAGCUGCAGCAAGUCAUCCAGAAGAUCUUGCUAAGGGUAUGCACAGAUGUGGAAACAGGAACUGAUGUGUCCAUUACACCACUAGGACAGAGGCCAGAACAAUGAAGAAACCAAAUGCUUGGAAGAGGGUAGAGAUAAUGAAUGGAGUCCAAGAGCCCUGAUUGUGCCAUAAAUGUCCAGAUAAUUCCAUACCUGAGGAUUAUGUGGUUUGUAAACUUGGCACUUAGAAGAACCAAUAAAAUUAUGUUAUAGUUUCAA
rnacentral:lncRNA from 1 species